CCUACGGGUGGCUGCAGUGGGGAAUAUUGGACAAUGGGCGAAAGCCUGAUCCAGCCAUGCCGCGUGUGUGAAGAAGGCCUUCGGGUUGUAAAGCACUUUCAGUGGGGAAGAAAGCCUUGGGGCUAAUACCCUCGAGGAAGGACAUCACCCACAGAAGAAGCACCGGCUAACUCCGUGCCAGCAGCCGCGGUAAUACGGAGGGUGCGAGCGUUAAUCGGAAUUACUGGGCGUAAAGCGCGCGUAGGCGGUCUGAUAAGCCGGUUGUGAAAGCCCCGGGCUCAACCUGGGAACGGCAUCCGGAACUGUCGGGCUAGAGUGCAGGAGAGGAAGGUGGAAUGCCCGGUGUAGCAGUGAAAUGCGUAGAGAUCGGGAGGAAUACCAGUGGCGAAGGCGGCCUUCUGGACUGUCACUGACGCUGAGGUGCGAAAGCGUGGGUAGCAAACAGGAUUAGAUACCCGAGUAGUC
rnacentral:rRNA from 1 species